GCUUUAGCUCAGUGGUACAGCACUUGCCUAGCAUGUGUGAGGUACUGGGUUCAAACCUCAGCACUGCA
rnacentral:tRNA from 1 species